rnacentral:tRNA from 1 species
GCAUUAGCAGUUCAGUGGUAGAAUGCUUGCCUUCCAUGCGGGAGACCUGGGUGCGAUUCCUGGCCACCGCA